rnacentral:rRNA from 1 species
AUUGAACGCUGGCGGCGUGCUUUACACAUGCAAGUCGGACGAGUGGCGAACGGGUGAGUAACGCAUCGGAACGUACCGAGUCAAGGGGGAUAACUGUCCGAAAGGACAGCUAAUACCGCAUAUUAUUCGAGCGGCCGAUGUCUGAUUAGCUGGUUGGCGGGGUAAAGGCUCACCAAGGCGACGAUCGGUAGCGGGUCUGAGAGGAUGACCAGCAACACGGGGACUGAGACACGGCCCAGACUCCUACGGGAGGCAGCAGGGGGGAAUAGUGCGCAAUGGGGGCAAGCAGGAUGCAGCCAUGCCGCGUGAAUGAAGAAGGCCUUCGGGUUGUAAAGGUCUUUCGGUAGCGAGGCGGUAACUAAAGAAGAAGCACCGGCUAACGCCGUGCCAGCAGCCGCGGUAAUAC